rnacentral:rRNA from 1 species
AUACGUAGGGGGCAAGCGUUAUCCGGAUUUACUGGGUGUAAAGGGAGCGUAGACGGUGUGACAAGUCUGAUGUGAAAACCCGGGGCUCAACUCCGGGAUUGCAUUGGAAACUGCCAUACUUGAGUGCAGGAGAGGUAAGCGGAAUUCCUAGUGUAGCGGUGAAAUGCGUAGAUAUUAGGAGGAACACCGGCGGCGAAGGCGGCUUACUUGACUGUAACUGACGUUGAGGCUCGAAAGCGUGGGUAGCAAACAGGAUUAGAUACCCUGGUAGUCCACGCGGUAAACGAUGAAUACUAGGUGUUGGGGGUCUUUAGACCCUCUGUGCCGCAGCAAACGCAAUAAGUAUUCCACCUGGGGAGUACGUUCGCAAGAAUGAAACUCAAAGGAAUUGACGGGG